rnacentral:rRNA from 1 species
CCUACGGGAGGCAGCAGUGGGGAAUAUUGCACAAUGGGGGAAACCCUGAUGCAGCGACGCCGCGUGAGUGAAGAAGUAUUUCGGUACGUAAAGCUCUAUCAGCAGGGAAGAAAAAAAGUCCUUUGGACUUUGGACGGUACCUGACCAAGAAGCCCCGGCUAACUACGUGCCAGCAGCCGCGGUAAUACGUAGGGGGCUAGCGUUAUCCGGAAUUACUGGGCGUAAAGGGUGCGUAGGUGGUUUCUUAAGUCAGAGGUGAAAGGCUACGGCUCAACCGUAGUAAGCCUUUGAAACUGGGGAACUUG